CCAGCUUUUCCGGUGCCGAUCCCGCGCCGACUUCAAGGUGGCGGUCGCCAUUGUUACCCUUCCGGAGGGAGGGGCAACUUGGGCGAUGGUGCAAGGCGUACCGCCUUAGGCUGGAAACAGAGCAAGGAAAAGUCUUCGCCGUCACCAGUGAAGCGACCACGUGGGUGAAU
rnacentral:SRP_RNA from 1 species